ACCCGCCCGGGGCGCUUGUCGCGUCCGGGUGAAAGACAGACACACCGUGCCCGGGGAAGAAAUGGGCACAUCAGGGCGUU
rnacentral:sRNA from 22 species